AAAAGUACAACUUACUGUAUUUUCACGACUACAAGGCGCACUUAAAAGUCUUAAAUUUUCUCCAAAAUGGACAGGGCCCCUUGUAUGUGCACCUUAUACUGUAUGUGCACCAACAUCCAAAAUCUGGAACUGAGUGAAAGCAUUUCCUGCCGACACACGACUUAUAAAGAGGAAAAGCAGACACUUGAGAGGACAACGUGGACGUUAGAGGGGGAAAGUGCGGCCGUGUGAAAGCAGGCAUGUGAUUUGACUGAAUGAAAAAAGACCGAAAAAUAGCAAGGGGUCUGGGGGCUGCAAGCAUGAUCAAAGGAUGAUCACCAAUUUUAACAGGCAAGUUUUAUAAAUUGUUUAAUGAAUGAAAUCAAUCUAGUACGUCUAUAAAUAAAUGCUAUUCUGUCAUUGUACUGAAGACUAUUUUAGUUUUAUUGCACUUUCAUUAUUUGCUUAAAUAUGAUCUUAUACAUUUAAUCAACAGAUAAAGUGCCGUCCAUUUGCUAAUCAGAGAAGGAUGUGUUGUGGAGCCGGUGGUUGUCCUUGAUCUUUGUACGCAGAAAACCGGCUGGCGGCAUCCUCCUCUCCCAGGCGUUACCUUCCCAGCCCAGGACCAGACUGCGUUGGUGGUGGUGGUGGGGGGGUCCAGACAGUUUUACCAUGGACCCAUACAUAUAAAAACCUUGUGUUACCGGGCAGCUUUUGUCUUCUUCUUUGGCUAUCCAGCCAGAAGACACACGUCUCGUGUGCGGCAGAUACCGAGAUAAGACCCGGACGUCUGUAUUGCACAUCCCUUUGUAAUAAAUCCAUUUGCUGUUAACUUUUUCCAAACAUUGGUCAUAACUUCCUCGACUCGUGAACACGCGUAGGGUCCAAACACGCAAAUCCCUACAAUUUGGUGACCCCGACCGGAAGUUGAGGGAGGUACACGAGCGUUGGCUGUCGACAGAUGAGAUAAAGAGACACUUAUGAGAAACACAGGAGUGUUAUACGGACAAGUCGAGGGUGGUUGUCUGUACGUCUGACUUCUCCAGGUCGCGACCAAAACCAAAGGUAAGCAGAAGCCUGUUUACUCUCGAAUUCUGCAUAUUCAACUGCCUAAAUUUGAGAAGUCAUUGGUAUCAGAUUGUUCAUGCCUCGUAUGAGUUAUUGAGAAUAAGAGAUAUAGAGAACAAGAGAAUGAGAGAUAGAGAAUAGGAGAUAAAAAGAAGUUGUAUAUACCGUCAUAGCUGACGUAUAUUGUAGACGUACAAUUGCAGUGUGAAGUUUACCUGUUAUACCUAAGGGGGAUGAGAUCCCUUAAAAACAGAGGGUUUGCCGUCGGUUUGAGCCUGGGAUGUCGCAAGGUGGUGUACGAAAAAAACGAAUAGUAUAGGAUAAUUUGUUGCGCGAUAGGAAUUCGGUUGGGUUUAGUUGAAGAUGAGUGACCACUAAAUUAAAGAUAUAAUGAUGGAUGGUGAAUUUCAUCAUGAAUGUGCCGAAUAUAAUCCAACUAAACAUGAAAUGCACAUUGAAAUUGAACGGCAAAUGAUGCCUAAUGGUGACAAAACGAAACAAGAUAAAGAAAGGAAGCGGCCAUUAAAAUAAUGGCAAAAGCACAAAUUGUGUAAAAUUCGUGAUUGGGACAAACUGACGAAGUUAUAGGAAAUUGACAGAGACUAUGUAAAUAUAAAUAAAAAAUGUAAAAGACUGAAAGCUCAAAGAGACAGAUUAGAUAAGGGCUCAUGGAAUUUAAAGAGGUGAAACAGAGAAAGGCGCACAGCGCAUUUCAUGAUGGUGACGGUGACGCCGAUGCCAACGUUGAAGAAAAAUGGUAAUGGGAAGUUGAACGAAGGUAAAGUAAGAGGAAAAAAAAGUGUAUUUGAUAUGUGAACGCAAGUGACUGCAAAAAUGAGGAAGGAGGCACAUCGAACACGCAGACACGGAUGCACCCUGAAUCACAUGUAAGUACACCACACACACACACACACACACACACACACACACACACACACACACACACACACACACACACACACACACACACGGAGCGAGAGGCGCUGAACAGGGGGGUUCAUGAAAACUGUCUUGUUGAUUUGAUGUAAAGCGUCCUCUCGCAUCGGAAAAAACACAAUGACUAUCAUAUUAUUAUUAUUACAUAUAUUAUGGCAGCACGGUGGAGCAGGCAGUAAAGCGCUGGCCUCACAGUUCUAAGGACCCGGGUUCAAUCCCGCACCCGCCUGUGUGGAGUAUGCAGGUUCUCCUUGUGCCUGCGUGGGUUUCUUCCCACAUCCCAAAAACACCCAACAUUAGUUGGACACUCAAGGUUGUCUCUAGGUGUGAUUGUGAGUACGACUGUUGUCUGUCUCUACGUGCCCUGCGAUUGGCAGGCAACCAGUUCAGGGUGUACCCUGCCUCCUGCCCACUGACAGCUGGGAUUGGGUCAAGCACUCCCCGUGACCCUCAUGAGGAUAAACGGUCAAGAAAAUGGAUGGAUAUUAUAUUAUAUUAUAUUAUAUAACAAGCAAACAAAACGCUACAAGGUUGAAAACUAUUCUUUUUUUUCUCAUGCUUUUUGGAAUAUAUCCACCUUUUGAUAAUAUUACUUGCACUGUAUGCGUUGUAAGUAAUGUUUUAAUUGCGUUUUUUAAAUAUUGUGUUUGUCAUUUUUAUUGUUUUUAUCACGUUUUAAGUGUUUUAUCACUUUGUUUUCAAAUGCCUUUAAUCAUGUAAAGUUACCUCGUGUAUGAAAUGCGCUAUACAAAUAAAUUUGCUUUGCUUUGCUUGACACUGAUGCCUAUGAUAGAGGCUCCAGCAGGUCCAAUAUACAAGCCGUUUGCUCUUAAAGAUCUUGAUUGUCUUGCUCACUUGUCUCGUCUCUCUUCUGGUGGUAAUGCAUGGCUGUCUCGUUUUGUGGAAACUUUACAGGGGUAUAAACUCUUCAUGGGAGACUGGAGCCAAGCAGCAUCUAGAUCAUGCACUAGAAUUGAACAAUGAGAAAUCGAGACAACUGCAGCUGCUAACCAGGGGAUGGAGGACACUCUCACUGGCCUGUGGAAUUCUGGAGUCUUGGAAACAUCCACCUCCUCGUGGUGUGCACCACUCAGGCCAGUUUUAAAAGCAGAUGAUGGCCUGAAACCUAGCCCUGCGGUCGCGAAGACGCCAUGUCAGUAAUGAAAGCUUUGGUGAACCACUGGAUUCCAACGCACGGUUUCCCUGCUCUCAUCCGCUCGGAUAAUGGUACACAUUUCACAUCCACACACCUUGCUACUUUCGAGAAGUGGUUAGGAUUAACUCACAAGUUUGGCUGUGUUUAUCACCCCGCCAGUCAAGGUUCAGUUGAACAUAUGAAUCGCAUGUUGAAGGAAAAACUGGCUAAAAUAUGUAAAUCUUCCGGCAUGAACUGGGUUCAGGCUCUUCCCCUUGCUCUCAAAUCUGUGAGACAAAAAGGAGGCUUCUCUCCUUACGAAUUUCUUUCAGGUCGUCUGAUGCCUGGCCCUUCCUCCUCAAUCCAACCGCUGGAGGAAGGCGUUGUGUCUCCCAAGUUUUCUCAUAAACUGUGUAGGCCACAACUGCAUUGUUUUGCUUCUAAUUUCUCCUUACAGAUCCAGGACUCUCUUCCAUCACCACCUCCAACACUUGAUCUUCCUGAAUGGUCAUCUGUCUACCUUAAACGACUCUCUCGUAAGAACCCGGUUGGUCUGGCCCCCACAAGGUGACUCCUCGUAACUCCAAAGCCGUCUGCUUGGAGGAAAAAGGAACUAAGUGGUUUCAUUAUUCUAUGCUUCGCCCUGCUACAGACUCUUAAUUGCACUUUUAUUUUAUUGUUUGUUGUUGUUUUAUUAACCAUGAUUCCUACAGAUGGUCCGAUUCCUUUUCGGACCAAGAGAGCGAGAGCAGGGAAUCUCUGGGAUUCUUAUUAUUGGUGUUAUUGUUGUUCUUGGUUAUUUUGAUCUGGGAAAUCUUUAAAAAAUACCCCAUACCUACACCCACAUCAGUGCCAGCUGUGAGCACAACCCACCCGGAAAAUAUUUAUCACAGAGAAGAGUUGUAUUAUAAAGAAAGCCCUGUCGUUUGAUGAGUGUUUUUGGGUUUUGACGGGCUUUAGUGCAGUAAACAAUAAUUGGUUACUAAUGGCAGAACAAGUAGCUAAUAAAACCCCGAGUGACUGUGUUGUAUGUAUGGGACCUAGACUUUUGUUCCGUGUUGUUUCCUCUUCUGUCAACUCCACUUUUGUUCUAGAUCUUAUGAAAAAUUAUGUGCCAAUUAAAAAUGAAUGCAAAAUUUGGGAUACUUCCCACCCGUAACACCGGCUCAAAAGAACAAACCUGUGUUUAAUCGCGUACGCCAAAGCUUCACCUGUAUUUUCCUUCAAGGUAAUCGUGCCCCAAUUGACAAUAUCUCUGAUGAUCAGUGUGCAGAGACCCCGGAAGCACCUUUUUUCCAACCUGUCAGCCAUGCUGAUGUGUGGUGGUGCUGUGGAGGGGAUCGUAUCUUCAACCACAUCCCGCGCAACAGUACGGGCAGAUGUGCAUUAGUAACUUUACUUUUACCUAUUUCCGUUGUUCCUGUCACCCUAGAUGAUCUGGCAGUUGCUCCUGAACACAUCAAGGACGCCCUUGGCCGAUUACACGUAGGUCCAAACCGACCUGCUGAUGACCCGACCGACAUUGACGCUAUUGGUGUCCCCCGUGGUGUCCCAGAUGAGUAUAAACUGGCUGAUCAGGUAGUUGCCGGUUUUAAAAUAUACCUGUAAUUACUGCUCUUUUCCCCAUUACUCCUAACGAAAAUGUCGACCGUAUCAAUUACAUACAUUUUAACAUUUUAAUGUGCAACGUUUGGGCAAUUUUACCCUUGAAGGACUUGAAGCUGUACAUGAGCAACAUAAGGCUACAUGUAUCAUGACUUUCCAAAAUAGAAUCGCAUUAGAUGCACCGUUGGCCAAGAAAGGAGGUGUUUGCCGGAUGGAUUGAGAGGGCGAGUGGUGCCCCAACUGAUGGCCGCGGUAAUUAUGUCCUCAUUAGACCCCCGCCCCGACACACUCCUCAAGAUGAUUUUAGUGUUGCUAUUGCUCCCCGUGAAAGUGAUACUAAACUUCCACCGCUUCCUGAUUGUCAUGAUGUAGACAUGCCCCGUGAUUGCAUUGCCCUUGCCCUCGCCCUUCUGUUCUACUGGUACUUUUUGCGUGAUAUUACUUUUUUUUAGAAAUGUUUUGCUGUUUUUGAGUUCUCUAGUACUGUCCUGCAGGUUUAAAGCUUGUGGGUGUUCUGAAUCAUGAGACUAUGCACUUGUUAAAAGGUAUGUUUGGAAAAAUAGAGAGGAUUUUAUGUUUUUCAUAUUUCUUCAAGUGUUACUUUUGGGAUUUUCGUGAUUGUUUUUGUGAUCUAUUUCAUAGAUCAAGAGAGGGAAUGAAGACUAUUUUACUUUUUUUGCACUUUCAUUAUUUGCUUAAAUUUGACCAUAUACAUUUAAUCAACAGAUAAAGUGUUGUCCAUUUGCUAAUCAGACAAGGAUGUGUUGUGGAGCCGGUGGUUGUCCUUGAUUUUUGUACGCAGAAAACCGGCUGGCGGCAUUCUCCUCUCCCAGGUGUUGCCGUGGAGACGAACGACACCAGAUAAGGAGCGGAAAGUUACCAUCCCGACCCAGGACCAGACUUCGGGGGAGGGGGGGAUGGGCAGCCACUUUUACCAUGGACCCAUACAUAUAAAAACCGUGUGUUACCGGGCACCUUUUGUCUUCUUUUUGGCUAUCCUGCCAGAAGACACACGUCUCGUGUGCGGCAGAUACCUCGAUAAGACCCGGACGUCUGUAUU